rnacentral:rRNA from 1 species
CAGUCGCCGCGGGAAUACGUAGGCCCCGAGCGUUGUCCGGAUUUAUUGGGCGUAAAGCGAGCGCAGGCGGUUAGAUAAGUCUGAAGUUAAAGGCUGUGGCUUAACCAUAGUACGCUUUGGAAACUGUUUAACUUGAGUGCAAGAGGGGAGAGUGGAAUUCCAUGUGUAGCGGUGAAAUGCGUAGAUAUAUGGAGGAACACCGGUGGCGAAAGCGGCUCUCUGGCUUGUAACUGACGCUGAGGCUCGAAAGCGUGGGGAGCAAACAGGAUUAGAUACCCCUGUAGUCCCUGUCUCUUAUACA